UACGGGGAGGGCAAGCGUUGUUCGGAAUUACUGGGCGUAAAGGGCUUGUAGGCGGCCAACUAAGUCAUACGUGAAAUCCCUCGGCUUAACCGGGGAACUGCGUCUGAUACUGGAUGGCUUGAGAUUGGGAGAGGGAUGCGGAAUUCCAGGUGUAGCGGUGAAAUGCGUAGAUAUCUGGAGGAACACCGGUGGCGAAGGCGGCAUCCUGGACCGGUAUUGACGCUGAGGCACGAAAGCGUGGGGAGCAAACAGG
rnacentral:rRNA from 1 species